rnacentral:rRNA from 1 species
UACGGAGGAUGCGAGCGUUAUCCGGAUUUAUUGGGUUUAAAGGGUGCGUAGGCGGACGCUUAAGUCGGCGGUAAAAUUGCGGGGCUCAACCUCGUCGAGCCGUUGAAACUGGGUGUCUUGAGUGGGCGAGAAGUACGCGGAAUGCGUGGUGUAGCGGUGAAAUGCAUAAAUAUCACGCAGAACUCCGAUUGCGAAGGCAGCGUACCGGCGCCCAACUGACGCUGAAGCACGAAGGCGUGGGUAUCGAACAGG